rnacentral:rRNA from 1 species
AUUGAACGCUGGCGGCAGGCCUAACACAUGCAAGUCGAGCGGAUGAGAGGAGCUUGCUUCUUGAUUCAGCGGCGGACGGGUGAGUAAUGCCUAGGAAUCUGCCUGGUAGUGGGGGACAACGUUUCGAAAGGAACGCUAAUACCGCAUACGUCCUACGGGAGAAAGCAGGGGACCUUCGGGCCUUGCGCUAUCAGAUGAGCCUAGGUCGGAUUAGCUAGUUGGUGAGGUAAUGGCUCACCAAGGCGACGAUCCGUAACUGGUCUGAGAGGAUGAGCAGUCACACUGGAACUGAGACACGGUCCAGACUCCUACGGGAGGCAGCAGUGGGGAAUAUUGGACAAUGGGCGAAAGCCUGAUCCAGCCAUGCCGCGUGUGUGAAGAAGGUCUUCGGAUUGUAAAGCACUUUAAGUUGGGAGGAAGGGUUGUACGUUAAUACCGUGCAAUCUUGACGUUACCGACAGAAUAAGCACCGGCUAACUCUGUGCCAGCCGCCGCCGUAA